rnacentral:rRNA from 1 species
UACGAAGGGGGCUAGCGUUGCUCGGAAUCACUGGGCGUAAAGCGCACGUAGGCGGAUCUUUAAGUCAGGGGGUGAAAUCCUGGAGCUCAACUCCAGAACUGCCUUUGAUACUGGGGGAUCUCGAGUCCGGGGAGAGGUGAGUGGAAACUGCGAGUGUAGAGGUGAAAUUCGUAGAUAUUCGCAAGAACACCAGUGGCGAAGGCGGCUCACUGGCCCGGUACUGACGCUGAGGUGCGAAAGCGUGGGGAGCAACAGGAUAAGAAACCCUCGUA